CUGGCCGAGGGCACGUCUGCCUGGG
rnacentral:rRNA from 1 species